CCUGUCAAACUGCAGCCAACAUAUUACUUUACCCAUGCUGGGAACACGCUGGUGAGAGAGCUGUCAGUAUUAAAUACACAGAUUUUCAUGAUGGAGCAGCCGAUUUUCAUCUGUUUCACUCCUGUAGGGAGGAUGGUGUGGGAGGAACUGACUUCUCAAACUGAACAGCCAAAUAGUGAAGACUCUGGUUUUCCCUUUGAGAAGAUGCAGCUGGUUGGGAACUGGGGUUCGUUUCAUUUCCAUACCUGGAUAAUCCGUUAUGGACGAGUGCAGCAAAACGAAGAGGACAUGCAUCACCUGUGCAUUGUGAGGGGAGUGGAGAAACAGCUGUGGUGGAGCAGAGUCAUUCAGGAAAAAA